GACGAACGCUGGCGGCGUGCUUAACACAUGCAAGUCGAACGGAAAGGCCCUGCUUUUGUGGGGUGCUCGAGUGGCGAACGGGUGAGUAACACGUGAGUAACCUGCCCCUGACUUUCGGAUAACUUCAGGAAACUGGGGCUAAUACCGGAUAGGAGCUCCUGCUGCAUGGGGGGGGUUGGAAAGUUUCGGCGGUGGGGGAUGUUCUCGCGGCUUAUCAGCUGGUUGGUGGGGUAGGGGCUUACCAGGCCUUUGACGGGUAGCCCGCCUGAGAGGGUUGCCGGCCACAUUGGGCCUGAGGGACGCACCAGUCUCCUACGGUCGGCAGCGGGCGGAAAUAUUGCGCAAUGGGCGGACGCCUGAUGCAGCAACGCCGCGUGCGGGAUGACGGCCUUCGGGUUGUAAACCGCUUUCGCCUGUGACGAAGCGUGAGUGACGGUAAUGGGUAAAGAAGCACCGGCUAACUACGUG
rnacentral:rRNA from 1 species